rnacentral:rRNA from 1 species
CCUACGGGUGGCAGCAGUGAGGAAUAUUGGUCAAUGGCCGUAAGGCUGAACCAGCCAAGUCGCGUGAAGGAAGAAGGACCUAUGGGUUGUAAACUUCUGUUAUAGGGGAAUAAAGGUAUCCACGUGUGGAUCUUUGCAUGUACCCUAUGAAUAAGCAUCGGCUAACUCCGUGCCAACAGCCGCGGUAAUACGGAGGAUGCGAGCGUUAUCCGGAUUUCUUGGGUUUAAAGGGUGCGUAGGUUGUUUUUUAAGUCAGCGGUGAAAGUUUGUGGCACAACCAUAAAAGUGCCGUUGAAACUGGAAGACUUGAGUGUGUUUGAGGUAGGCGGAAUGCGUGGUGUAGCGGUGAAAUGCAUAGAUAUCACGCAGAACUCCGAUUGCGAAGGCAGCUUACUAAGCCAUAACUGACACUGAAGCACGAAAGCGUGGGGAUCAAACAGGAUUAGAUACCCGGGUAGUC